AAAGAUUAAGCCAUGCAUGUCUAAGUAUAAGCAAUUACACCGCGAAACUGCGAAUGGCUCAUUAUAUAAGUUAUCGUUUAUUUGAUAUUCACUUACUACUUGGUUAACCGUGGUAAUUCUAGAGCUAAUACAUGCGUACAUAACCUCGACUUCUGGAAGAGGUGCACUUAUUAGAUAAAAAGCCAACGCGGGCAACCGCUUGUAUGGUGAUUCAUAAUAAUUAAUCGAAUCGCAUGGCCUUGUGCCGGCGAUGAUGCAUUCAAAUUUCUGCCCUAUCAAGUUUCGAUGGUAGGUUAGUGGCCUACCAUGCUUU
rnacentral:rRNA from 1 species